rnacentral:rRNA from 1 species
CCUACGGGUGGCAGCAGUGGGGAAUAUUGCGCAAUGGGCGAAAGCCUGACGCAGCGACGCCGCGUGAGGGAUGAAGGUCUUCGGAGCGGAAACCUCUGUCAGCAGGGAAGAACGGUCACGGUGCUAAGCAGCAGUGAAUGGACGGUACCUGCAAAGGAAGCACCGGCUAACUCCGGGCCAGCAGCCGCGGUAAUACGGAGGGUGCGAGCGUUAAUCGGAAUUACUGGGCGUAAAGCGCGCGUAGGCGGUAUGUCAAGUCAAGGGUGAAAUCCCCGCGCGCACCGUGGGAACUGCCUUUGAAACUGGCAACCUGGAGUGUGUGCGCGGCUAGUGGCCUUCCAGGUGU